rnacentral:rRNA from 1 species
CCUACGGGGGGCUGCAGUGAGGAAUAUUUGUCAAUGGGCGCGAGCCUGAACCAGCCAAGUAGCGUGAAGGAUGACUGCCCUACGGGUUGUAAACUUCUUUUAUAAAGGAAUAAAGUGAGGCACGUGUGCCUUUUUGUAUGUACUUUAUGAAUACGGAUCGGCUAACUCCGUGCCAGCAGCCGCGGUAAUACGGAGGAUCCAACCGUUCUCCGGAUUUAUUCGGUUUAAAGGGAGCGUAGAUGGGUUGUUAAGUCGGUUGUGAAAGGGUGCGGCUCAACCGUAAAAUUGCAAUUGAUACUGGCAGUCUGGAGUACAGGUGAGGUAAGCGGAAUUCGUGGUGUAGCGGUGAAAUGCGUAGAUAUCACGAAGAACUCCGAUUGCGAAGGCAGCUUACUAGACUGCAACUGACAUUGAUGCUCGAAAGUGUGGGUAGCAAACAGGAUUAGAUACCCCAGUAGUC